UACAGAGGUCUCAAGCGUUUGUUCGGAUUCAUUGGGCGUAAAGGGUGCGUAGGUGGCGCGGUAAGUCGGGUGUGAAAUCUCGGAGCUUAACUCCGAAAUUGCAUUCGAUACUGCCGUGCUCGAGGACUGGAGAGGAGACUGGAAUUCAUGGUGUAGCAGUGAAAUGCGUAGAGAUCAUGAGGAAGACCAGUGGCGAAGCGGUCUCUGGACAGUUCCUGACACUGAGGCACGAAGGCCGGGGAGCAAACGGG
rnacentral:rRNA from 1 species